UAAGCUUAACAUACUACUAUCUACAAUUCCACAAUUUUUACUUAACCCUUUAUCACUACUGAACUAUUUUAUACCCCUAUAAAAGUCAUUAUGCUAGAACUAGUAACAAGAAAUUGCCCUUCUCCAAAAUGUAUGUUUAAACCAAAAUGGACCCUCCACUGGUAGUUAACGUAAAUGUAAUAAUCAUAGUACCAUACAACUAGAAAACCCUAUGACUUCCCAACGUCAACCUUACACUAGAACAUUACAGGAAAGAUUAAAAGAGAAAGAAGGAACUCGGCAAACCACAGUCCCGCCUGUUUACCAAAAACACCGCCUCUUGCCCAAAUAUAAGAGGUCCAGCCUGCCCAGUGACAUAGUUUAACGGCCGCGGUACCCUAACCGUGCGAAGGUAGCAUAAUCACUUGUUCUUUAAAUAAGGACUCGUAUCAACGGCAUCACGAGGGCUGUACUGUCUCCUUUCUCCAAUCAGUGAAACUGAUCUCCCCGUGAAGAAGCGGGGAUUGACCUAUAAGACGAGAAGACCCCAUGGAGCUUUAAACCCAACACACACCUCUACGCACCCAAACCAAUAUAGCCCAAGAGACUUGUGUGUUGGUUUUAGGUUGGGGGGACCGCGGAGUAAAAUCAAACCUCCAUGACAGACGGGCUAACACCCUUAUCCAUGAACCACAAUUCUAAGAGCCAAUAAAUUGUUGUCUAAUGACCCAAUUACUUGAUCAACGAACCAAGUUACCCUGGGGAUAACAGCGCAAUCUACUUCAAGAGCUCCUAUCGACAAGUAGGUUUACGACCUCGAUGUUGGAUCAGGGUAUCCUAGUGGUGCAGCCGCUACUAAAGGUUCGUUUGUUCAACGAUUAAAA
rnacentral:rRNA from 1 species